UAUCAACACAGGCACACAGCAGAGUGCACCGAAUGGAAGGGGAUGCCAAGCUAUUUGGUUUAACUGGAAGGAAGCAGACAAUUCUCAUUUCUCCAACUUGUAUUAUUUGCCUCAAAAUGCACUCAUGUCGCAGAAUCAAAGCCUCCUUCACUCCUGGACAACAAUCUUAAGAUGAAGUGGAGAGAUCACAACGUUUGAUCCAAAAAAUUAAGGCAGCUCUUUCAACAAGAGAACAAGCAUGUAUUGGCACCACAAACCUUCUUCCAUCUUCAGACUUUCUUGCCUGCCC